AUAAACAAACAUUCAAAUUAAGACGAAAAAUUAAUAAAUUAACUACUUACUUAAUUUAAAAUUCAUAGAGCAAACAUGUCGAUUACUUUCCCAUUUAUGCAUUAUGUAUAAUGGGAACGAUAGUGAUGUACCACUGCCAGAAAUUAUUCCACACUACUCUAAGAACUACAUAGGAAUCAAGUAUUACUUACUACUAUCAGAGAGUCAAUACUGCAGGUAGUUUGCGUUAAAUUAAUGUUUGCAGAGGCUUUUCUUACUUUUCAUGUUAAUGUUAACUGUGCUUUAAUCUAUCAUUUAGGUCCAGUUUCAUAAAGGUGGUUAAAGUUAACGUUAAACUUUGAGUGUCAACUGUCAAAGCAAAAUGGUUGGUUGCAGAAUUCU